rnacentral:rRNA from 1 species
UACGGAGGGUGCAAGCGUUAAUCGGAAUUACUGGGCGUAAAGCGUGCGCAGGCGGUUUGUUAAGUCUGUUGUGAAAUCCCCGAGCUCAACUUGGGAAUUGCAAUGGAUACUGGCAGGCUGGAGUAUGGUAGAGGAAGGUGGAAUUCCCGGUGUAGCAGUGAAAUGCGUAGAGAUCGGGAGGAACACCAGUGGCGAAGGCGGCCUUCUGGACCAACACUGACACUGAGGCACGAAAGCGUGGGGAGCAAACAGG